rnacentral:tRNA from 1 species
CGGAAUGAUACUUACCGGUCUAUCUUAGGAAAGUUUAAAUGAGCUGUGGAGAGAGGCAGAAGCUGCUUGGUAUUAAGAAAAGCAUAUACAAGAAAGAAAAAAAACAUAUGCAAAUAAAGGAACUAUUACUGUGCAAAAAUGGACUGAGAUCAGAGUUUCAGACACAGCAGGAGCAGAUUUGAUAUGCCUGAUUAAUUCAUUAAACAAAUUAAAAUCAUAAACACCUGAAAACUAGAAACCGUUUGCUUAUAGCUCUGGGUUCAUCUUAGAUGAGACUGAAAGACAGAAGGCAAAGGAAGAAGCUCCAAAGAGUCUAGGGCUUGCUGGGCCCCGAAGUCAGGCCCGGGGGAGGCUGAGGUGGCCGUGAUGGCGGCAGAGUGACUGCUGAAGGACAGGAGGUGCCACGGCCAAGAGAGUCUCUGGUGACAACAGCUGAGGCAGAGGGGUGACACGGACCUGCUCACUGCGACUGAAGAGCACUCUGGCUCUUAGUGACAUGAGGGAAUUACGCUUCUCUGGUUAUGAAAAAAGGUUCCCAUCAUCUUCCUCCUUCCUGCCCCACAGGAAGGGGACAGGGAAAGACCCACGCCGUGGAGGUGAGGAGUAAGAACCAGGACAGGAGACUUCUGAGUGAGCUGAUGCUGAUACUGAUCAAACAUGAAAAUGGGGGAAUUCCCUGGCGGUCCAGUGGUGAGGACUUGAUGCUUUCACUGUGGUGGCCCAGGUUCAAUCCCUGGCGAGGGAACUAAUAUCCUGCAAGCCACACAGUGUGGCAAAAACAGAAAGACAAACAAAAACGCCAUGACAACAGGAUCAGAGACAACUACUGAAAAGCAAAUUACAGAUUCUUCAAAACUGACUAUGUGGGAUAAGAAGAGCCCAAAUGUAGUUGGGCCAGAUACGACUAACACUAAUUAGAAAGUCAUUCCGUUCUCUAAUCCCAACAUAGACUCAAACUGGCCUUGACGUCACUGUACCAUCCCAACCACCAUCACCUGGACACCUCACGCCCUCUCUUCUUC